rnacentral:rRNA from 1 species
ACAUACGACCAUACCCACUGGAAAACUCGGGAUCCCGUCCGCUCUCCCAUAGAUAAGCCAGUGAGGGCCGGAUUAGUAGUUGGGUCGGUGACGACCAGCGAAUACCUGGUGUUGUAUGUG